CAUUAUUGUAAGUUUAUACAUUUAUGCAGAUAUGUGUAAUUGUUCUUCAAACUUAAAGUCAAUUUUUUGAAAAACCAAAAUACUCUGGCAUCAUAAACCUUUAUUUCACUUCUGUAUGUCUUUUCUGUGUUGAUGAUUCUUAAGAAAGUCAUGGAAAAUUUCUGAAGUAGAGGUUUUGAAGAGAUGGACAUAAAAAAGGAAGCAAUCAAUUUCAUUAGAACCUGUACUUCUGUUUAUCAUUCAACAGUUGCAUAAGUGGAAAAAUGCAGUGAAUGAGUUAUCUCGUGCUAUCCAUCUUCAGCCAGAUGGAAUUCAACUAUAUAUAAUAAGAGGACAAUAUCUUCUUAUGAUGAAAUGUUAUGAUCUUGCAAAGUUUACUAUUUAUCAAGUAGCAGAGAUAAACAAAGGUCUCAUUGGGUUGAGUCCCAUUCAACAAGCACACAUUUAUUCAUUUUGUGAAAACCAUGACAAGGCCAUUCAGGUCUUGGAUGGGAUAUCGUGGCAUAGGUCGGAGAUGACCAUGUUUACAUUAUUAGCAAAAGCCCAAAUGAAGGCCAAGAAAAUCAAGGUGAAUACAAUUUCUGAAUAACCUUUGUUAAACCUACUAAUGAAAUUCCUAUAUCGUACUUAG
rnacentral:lncRNA from 1 species